rnacentral:rRNA from 1 species
GACGAACGCUGGCGGCGUGCCUAACACAUGCAAGUUGAGCGACGAACCAGGGCUUGCCCUGGGGCAAAGCAGCGAACGGGUGAGUAACACGUGGGUAACCUACCCCGAUAACCGGGACAACCCGAGGAAACUCGGGCUAAUACCGGAUGUGCUCACUGGACUUCGGUUCAGUGCGUAAAGGAAGCUUCGGCCUCCGUAUCGGGAGGGGCCCGCGGCCCAUUAGUUUGUUGGUUAGGUAACGGCUCACCAAGCCCGCGAUGGGUAGCUGGUCUGAGAGGACGAUCAGCCACACUGGGACUGAGACACGGCCCAGACUCCUACGGGAGGCAGCAGUGGGGAAUCUUGCGCAAUGGGCGAAAGCGUGACGCAGCAACGCCGCGUGGGGGAAGAAGGCCUUCGGGUUGUAAACCCCUUUCAGGAGGGACGAAGGUUCGGCGGUGAAUAGCCGUCCGGACUGACGGUACCUCCACAAGAAGCCCCGGCUAACUACGUG